rnacentral:rRNA from 1 species
AUUGAACGCUGGCGGCAGGCCUAACACAUGCAAGUCGAGCGAGCGGCGGACGGGGGAGUAAUGUAUGGGGACUGCCCGAUAGAGGGGGAGAACUACUGGAAAAGGUAGCUAAUACCGAAUACUAUCGGAUAACCCAUAUGGGAUUAGCUAGUAGGUGAGGUAAUGGCUCACCUAGGCGACGAUCCCUGGCUGGUCUGAGAGGAUGAUCAGCCACCCUGGGAUUGAGACACGGCCCAGACUCCUACGGAGGCAGCCGUGGGGAAUAUUGCCCAAUGGGCGCAAGCCUGAUGCAGCCAUGCCGCGUGUAUGAAGAAGGCCCUAGGGUUGUAAAGUACUUUCAGUCGGGAGGCGUUACCGACAGAAGAAGCACCGGCUAACUACGUGCCAGCAGCCGCGGUAAUAC